AGUGAACGCUGGCGGUAGGCCUAACACAUGCAAGUCGAACGGCAGCACAGUAAGAGCUUGCUCUUACGGGUGGCGAGUGGCGGACGGGUGAGGAAUACAUCGGAAUCUACUUUUUCGUGGGGGAUAACGUAGGGAAACUUACGCUAAUACCGCAUACGACCUACGGGUGAAAGCAGGGGAUCUUCGGACCUUGCGCGAUUGAAUGAGCCGAUGUCGGAUUAGCUAGUUGGCGGGGUAAAGGCCCACCAAGGCGACGAUCCGUAGCUGGUCUGAGAGGAUGAUCAGCCACACUGAAACUGAGACACGGUCCAGACUCCUACGGGAGGCAGCAGUGGGGAUUAUUGGACAAUGGGCGCAGCCUGAUCCAGCCAUACCGCGUGGGUGAAGAAGGCCUUCGGGUUGUAAAGCCCUUUUGUUGGGAAAGAAAAGCAGCAGGUUAAUACCCCGCUGUUCUGACGGUACCCAAAGAAUAAGCACCGGCUAACUUCGUG
rnacentral:rRNA from 1 species